rfam:Pseudomonas syringae strain GAW0119 contig14.1, whole genome shotgun sequence.
AACAGCUGCUGCGCAGGACGCGCACAGGAUCAAGGAUGAUCGGCCAUGGCCCGGAGGGCUUACCGACAGGAUGUUGGAAUGGUUUUGAAGAAAACCCGCCUCGGCGGGUUUUUU